AAACAACGCACCACACUGAUCUCGUUUGGAGGAUCUGCUAGCUUCUGUGAACUUGUUCUGUGCAGAUUCAAGUUCACCACACCAGGAUAGAUUAUAUAGCAACAUACUAGAGUAGUUUGGCGUGAUUUACGGUUCACAAUAAUCUCUACACUGUAAAAACUGUGAUUUGGGUUAAUUAGUAUCUAAUAGGAAAGUAAUAGUAACUAUUACUCAGUAAAAACAUGUAUGUGUUGUUUUAAUUAAAUCUAAGCAAAAUUAAACAUUUUUGAGAUGUUCAGUUAUUUAAAUUUACACAAUUUUGUUUGGGGUAAAUUAAGCAAUAGUUUAUUGAUCAGAUUUAACAAAAAUGUAUGAGUACCAUGAAAAAUUAAGAAAUCUAAUAGAUUUAACUAAUGAAAGCAUUUUCAUUUCAAUGAUUCUACACUUCCGCUGUAGUCAGUUGUGCCACGUGCAGGACACACACACUUCAGCAGUGGAUGAUCUCCAUUUUGUCCGAGGUUGAACGAGAUAGAGCUCCAUGUAAUCACGGAUGACCAAAUCGAGAAGUUGGUUCUUCCAUCAGGGAUCCCACCAACAGUAGAGGAGCUGCAAAGUGUUGUGUAGGAUAUCUUUGGGAUUUCAAACGACUUCAGUCUUCAGUAUUUUAAACCACAAUUUCAGGACUACUUCACUAUUCGCAGAAGUGACCAGGAUCAGCUAAAGUUGUGCAUCACCCUGGUCAUCCUGCCAGUUUUCGGCAACCCCUCUGAUCAACUGUCAACUGACUAUCACUCAUCAUCCAAUCCAGUUGUAUCCAGUGCAGACUCUGCUGCAACCACAUCUUCUCAGGACAAAAUUAUUCUCAAAAGGCAGAAGUUCACAGAACGUUGUGAGCCCUGGCCGAAGCUGUUCCCCAUUCCACAGUCUUCAUAUGAAACCGAAAUGUAACUGGAAAGAGCCACUGAGAGUAUAAAAAGAAUGGAAAUCUUCUGCCCACCACCAAAGUAAAGACUGACAUUCUCGAGAAGUUGGCUGAAACUGUAUUUUCAAUUAUGGCCUAUUCUUCCUAUUAUCUUGGGGCAAGCACUAGUGAAGAAUUUCAGUGCAUACAAUCUAAAUCAAUCAGAAAAAUGUUAUAUUAUACAUUUUGUAUACGUUUUAUAUUCCACAAUAAAAGUUUGAAUGUU